rnacentral:rRNA from 1 species
AGUGAACGCUGGCGGUAGGCCUAACACAUGCAAGUCGAACGGCAGCACAGUAAGAGCUUGCUCUUACGGGUGGCGAGUGGCGGACGGGUGAGGAAUACAUCGGAAUCUACUUUUUCGUGGGGGAUAACGUAGGGAAACUUACGCUAAUACCGCAUACGACCUACGGGUGAAAGCAGGGGAUCUUCGGACCUUGCGCGAUUGAAUGAGCCGAUGUCGGAUUAGCUAGUUGGCGGGGUAAAGGCCCACCAAGGCGACGAUCCGUAGCUGGUCUGAGAGGAUGAUCAGCCACACAGGGACUGAGACACGGUCCAGACUCCUACGGGAGGCAGCAGUGGGGAAUAUUGGACAAUGGGCGCAAGCCUGAUCCAGCCAUACCGCGUGGGUGAAGAAGGCCUUCGGGUGGUAAAGCCCUUUUGUUGGGAAAGAAAAGCAGCAGGUUAAUACCCCGCUGUUCGGACGGUACCCAAAGAAUAAGCACCGGCUAACUUCGU